rnacentral:rRNA from 1 species
GACGAACGCUGGCGGCGUGCUUAACACAUGCAAGUCGAACGAUGAACUUGGAGCUUGCUCUGGGGGAUUAGUGGCGAACGGGCGAGUAACACGUGAGUAACCUGCCCUGGACUCUGGGAUAACUUCAAGAAAUCGGAGCUAAUACCGGAUAGGACCUUGCACCGCAUGGUGUGGGGUGGAAAGUUUUUCGGUUUGGGAUGGACUCGCGGCCUAUCAGCUUGUUGGUGAGGUAAUGGCUCACCAAGGCGUCGACGGGUAGCCGGCCUGAGAGGGUGACCGGCCACACUGGGACUGAGACACGGCCCAGACUCCUACGGGAGGCAGCAGUGGGGAAUAUUGCACAAUGGGCGCAAGCAUGAUGCAGCAACGCCGCGUGCGGGAUGACGGCCUUCGGGUUGUAAACCGCUUUUAGUAGGGAAGAAGCCUUCGGGUGACGGUACCUGCAGAAAAAGGACCGGCUAACUACGUGCCAGCCGCCGCGGUAACAC